rnacentral:rRNA from 1 species
AGAGUUUGAUCCUGGCUCAGAUUGAACGCUGGCGGCAUGCCUUACACAUGCAAGUCGAACGGCAGCACGAGAGCUUGCUCUUGGUGGCGAGUGGCGAACGGGUGAGUAAUAUAUCGGAACGUACCCUAGAGUGGGGGAUAACGUAGCGAAAGUUACGCUAAUACCGCAUACGAUCUACGGAUGAAAGUGGGGGAUCGCAAGACCUCAUGCUCAUGGAGCGGCCGAUAUCUGAUUAGCUAGUUGGUGGGGUAAAAGCUCACCAAGGCGACGAUCAGUAGCUGGUCUGAGAGGACGACCAGCCACACUGGAACUGAGACACGGUCCAGACUCCUACGGGAGGCAGCAGUGGGGAAUUUUGGACAAUGGGCGCAAGCCUGAUCCAGCAAUGCCGCGUGAGUGAAGAAGGCCUUCGGGUUGUAAAGCUCUUUUGUCAGGGAAGAAACGGUGGACUCUAAUACAGAUCACUAAUGACGGUACCUGAAGAAUAAGCACCGGCUAACUACGUGCCAGCAGCCGCGGUAAUACGUAGGGUGCAAGCGUUAAUCGGAAUUACUGGGCGUAAAGCGUGCGCAGGCGGUUGUGCAAGACAGAUGUGAAAUCCCCGGGCUCAACCUGGGAAUUGCAUUUGUGACUGCACGGCUAGAGUGUGUCAGAGGGGGGUAGAAUUCCACGUGUAGCAGUGAAAUGCGUAGAGAUGUGGAGGAAUACCGAUGGCGAAGGCAGCCCCCUGGGAUAACACUGACGCUCAUGCACGAAAGCGUGGGGAGCAAACAGGAUUAGAUACCCUGGUAGUCCACGCCCUAAACGAUGUCUACUAGUUGUCGGGUCUUAAUUGACUUGGUAACGCAGCUAACGCGUGAAGUAGACCGCCUGGGGAGUACGGUCGCAAGAUUAAAACUCAAAGGAAUUGACGGGGACCCGCACAAGCGGUGGAUGAUGUGGAUUAAUUCGAUGCAACGCGAAAAACCUUACCUACCCUUGACAUGUCUGGAAUCCUUGAGAGAUCAGGGAGUGCUCGAAAGAGAAUCAGAACACAGGUGCUGCAUGGCUGUCGUCAGCUCGUGUCGUGAGAUGUUGGGUUAAGUCCCGCAACGAGCGCAACCCUUGUCAUUAGUUGCUACGAAAGGGCACUCUAAUGAGACUGCCGGUGACAAACCGGAGGAGGGUGGGGAUGACGUCAAGUCCUCAUGGCCCUUAUGGGUAGGGCUUCACACGUCAUACAAUGGUACAUACAGAGGGCCGCCAACCCGCGAGGGGGAGCUAAUCCCAGAAAGUGUAUCGUAGUCCGGAUUGUAGUCUGCAACUCGACUACAUGAAGUUGGAAUCGCUAGUAAUCGCGGAUCAGCAUGUCGCGGUGAAUACGUUCCCGGGUCUUGUACACACCGCCCGUCACACCAUGGGAGCGGGUUUCACCAGAAGUGGGUAGCCUAACCGCAAGGAGGGCGCUCACCACGGUGGGAUUCGUGACUGGGGUGAAGUCGUAACAAGGUA